AGGGAGUGAGCUUACUACCUGGAAAAGACGAUACAGCUUCUCCGAAAGAGGUACAACGGCACCUUGCCGAUGGGUCAGUCUCUGAUUCGACGUUGGGGAAGGUCUUGGUUUCGAUCCAUUCUUUGGAGAUUUUGCUCAUAUGUAAAUUAAGCCAGAGGUUGAUAAACCACCAGGGACCACCAGGGUUCCCGAUGGGCUCCCCAGAUGAUAGCUUCACGGCAAUUUGAU
rnacentral:lncRNA from 1 species